rnacentral:rRNA from 1 species
UACGUAGGGGGCGAGCGUUGUCCGGAUUUAUUGGGCGUAAAGAGCGUGUAGGCGGCCAGGUAGGUCUGCUGUGAAAACUCGAGGCUCAACCUCGAGACGUCGGCGGAAACCAUCUGGCUAGAGUCCGGAAGAGGAGAGUGGAAUUCCUGGUGUAGCGGUGAAAUGCGCAGAUAUCUGGAGGAACACCGGUGGCGAAGGCGGCAUCCUGGACCAAUUCUGACGCUGAGUGAGCGAAAGCCAGGGGAGCAAACGGG